rnacentral:rRNA from 1 species
CCUACGGGAGGCAGCAGUGAGGAAUAUUGGUCAAUGGCCGGAAGGCUGAACCAGCCAAGUCGCGUGAGGGACGACGGUCUUCGGAUUGUAAACCUCUGUCUUUGGGGAAGAAAAUGACGGUACCCAAAGAGGAAGCUCCGGCUAACUACGUGCCAGCAGCCGCGGUAAUACGUAGGGAGCGAGCGUUGUCCGGAAUUACUGGGUGUAAAGGGAGCGUAGGCGGGCGAGAAAGUUGAAUGUUAAAUCUACCGGCUUAACUGGUAGCUGCGUUCAAAACUUCUUGUCUUGAGUGAAGUAGAGGCAGGCGGAAUUCCUAGUGUAGCGGUGAAAUGCGUAGAUAUUAGGAGGAACACCAGUGGCGAAGGCGGCCUGCUGGGCUUUAACUGACGCUGAGGCUCGAAAGCGUGGGGAGCAAACAGGAUUAGAUACCCCAGUAGUC